CGCGGGGGAAAGGAACCGGUGGAAGAUCUCCCGAGCCGCUUGGAACUCCAUGAGGAUGAGGAGGAACAUUUUGUUUGGGAAGAAGAAUUCAAGGAUGAGAAGAUUGAAGCCAAGUGGCUGGCGAUAGCGAAAGUGCACACCAACAAGGGGUUCAGCCCCUUAGCUCUGUAUGGUGAUAUGAGAUCAGCAUGGAACCCAGCCAGAGAGGUCCGUUGGCGCAGAAUAGAUGAGAAUCUGUUUACGGUACAGUUUGGUUGCUUGGGUGAUUGGAACACUGCCAUUAACAAGGGGCCUUGGCUGUUUAGGAAUCAAGGAGUCUUGAUAGAGGAAUAUGAUGGAUUCAAGAAACCUGAAUCGAUGGUUUUGGAUAAAUUGGUGGUAUGGGCUAGGAUUUUGAAACUCCCAGAUAAUUAUCUGUUUCCAGCAGCGAUCAAGGGCAUGUGCCGUAAGAUGGGUAGGGUUUUGGAGGUCCAAACAACCCUACCGGCUGGUUUUGUUGGUGAAUUUGUAAGGGUCAGAGUGGAGCUUACUAUCACGAAGAAGCUUAUCAGAUUUGUUUCAAUUACCAAGAAUAAAGAAACAGACUACCAAGUCCAGUAUGAAAAGCUACCGGACUUUUGUGGCAAUGUGGUCUUUUGGGGCACUGGUACGAUGAGUGUGGCACGGGAGAGCAUGAUGUAA
rnacentral:rRNA from 1 species